UUUUCCAAAUGGUCUUAUUAAAUUUGUUUCUAAUUAUAAGUUGUGUGAUAGUAUCGCACAUUGGUAUGACGAUAUGCAUAUAUAUGUCUAAAAGUGAGCUUAAUUAUAUAGGCUCAAAAAUUAACGAAUAUAGUAUGUUUCAAAAGAGAACAAGAUAUAAACAAACAAACUUGUUUAUAAUUAACAAAAUAAGAAACAAUAAUAUAAAAAAAUCAAAGAAUAGUUUAAAUGUAGAAAAUGAUAAUACGGAUAGUAGUAGACUAACAUUAUUAAAAAAUUUAGAAAAAGAAACUGAAGUAAUUACACAGGCACCUGAUUGGAAUAAUCAACAGCCGUUACUUGAAAUAUCAAAUUUACAUGCUAUAGAAAUAGAGGGGGAAAAGGAAAUUUUACAUGGUAUAAAUUUAGUUAUUUAUUCUGGAGAAAGACAUGCUAUAAUGGGUCGAAAUGGUUCCGGCAAAUCUACACUAGCAAAAGUAAUAGCUGGACAUCCAUAUUAUAAAGUCAUUAAAGGUAAAAUGACAUUUAAAGGUUUAGAUUUGAAUACAUUAGCAGUUAAUAUAAGGUCUUUAUGUGGUAUAUUUUUAGCAUUUCAAUAUCCAAUAGAAUUACCUAUGAUAAAAAAUAAUGAUUUUCUAAGAGCUGCAUUAAAUAGUCAUAGGAGACAAAGAAAUGAAACGGAAUUAAGUGCAAGUGAAUUCGAUUUAUUAAUGCUUGAAGAAAUAAAAAAAGUUGGUUUAUGUUCUGAGUUUUUAAACAGACCAGUUAAUUAUGGUUUUAGUGGAGGAGAAAAAAAAAGAAAUGAAAUUCUACAAAUGUUAAUUUUAAAACCAUCUUUUGCUAUUCUAGAUGAAACUGAUUCAGGUUUAGAUAUUGAUUCUUUUAAAUUGACAUCUAAAAUACUUGCAAAUUAUGCAAAUAAUAAUAAUUCAUUUUUAGUAGUAACCCAUUAUAAAAAACUGUUACAACUUUUGAAGCCUAAUUAUAUUCAUAUAAUGCACCAAGGGAAAAUUAUUGAAACAGGAAACUAUUCUUUAGUUGAUAAAAUUGAGUCCAGUGGUUAUUCUCAAUUUUUUAACAAUUAGCACCGUCCGUUUUAUUAUGCGUA
rnacentral:lncRNA from 1 species